UGAGUACGAGAUGCUACGGCAUCGAAGCAGUCUAUGUCAUACUUCCAAGAAAAGCUUGCAAUGUCAUAAACAAAUAAUGCCUGUACCAUAACCGACACAGGUGGGUAGGUAGAGUAUACUAAGGGGCGCGAGAUAACUCUCUCUAAGGAACUCGGCAAAAUGACUCCGUAACUUCGGGAGAAGGAGUGCCUUAUUUUUAUAAGGUUGCAAUAACAAGAUCCAAGCAACUGUUUACCAAAAACACAGGUCUCCGCUAAGUCGUAAGACGAUGUAUGGGGGCUGACGCCUGCCCAGUGCCAGAAGGUUAAAGAAGUUGGUUAGCAUUAGCGAAGCUGAUAACUGAAGCCCUGGUGAACGGCGGCCGUAACGAUAACGGUCCUAAGGUAGCGAAAUUCCUUGUCGGGUAAGUUCCGACCCGCACGAAAGGCGUAAUGAUUUGGAUACUGUCUCGGAGAGGGGCUCGGUGAAAUAGACUUGUCUGUGAAGAUGCGGACUACCUGCACCUGGACAGAAAGACCCUAUGAAGCUUUACUGUAACUUGAGAUUGAAAUUGGACUUUAUCUGCGCAGUAUAGGUGGGAGACGUUGAAAAUAUUCUUGCGGGAAUAUUGGAGUCAUCAGUGAGAUACCACUCUUAUAAUGUUAGAUUUCUAACUUUGUAUCAUUAUCUGGUCAAAGAACAGUUUCAGGCGGGCAGUUUGACUGGGGCGGUCGCCUCCCAAACGGUAACGGAGGCGCACAAAGGUUUCCUCUGAACGUGUAGAAAUCGUAUCUAGAGUGUAAAGGCAUAAGGAAGCUUGACUGUGAGACCUACAAGUCGAGCAGGGACGAAAGUCGGUCUUAGUGAUCUGACGGUGCUGAGUGGAAAGGCCGUCACUCAACGGAUAAAAGUUACUCUAGGAUAACAGGCUGAUCUCCCCCAAGAGUUCACAUCGACGGGGAGGUUUGGCACCUCGAUGUCGGCUCAUCGCAUCCUGGGGCGGUAGUAUGUCCCAAGGGUUGGGCUGUUCGCCCAUGAAAGCGGUACGCGAGCUGGGUUCAGAACGUCGUGAGACAGUUCGGUCCAUAUCCGGUGUAGGCGUUAGAAUAUUGAGAGGAGCCUUCUUUAGUACGAGAGGACCGAGAAGGACAUACCUCUGGUGUACCAGUUAUCGUGCCAACGGUAAACGCUGGGUAGCCAUGUAUGGAGAGGAUAACCGCUGAAAGCAUCUAAGUGGGAAGCCCACCUCAAGAUAAGUAUUCCC
rnacentral:rRNA from 1 species